CACUAACAGUAAUUCAGUCGCUGAAAUAAGUCUUGUAAAUUUAUAAUAAGCUUGACACAAGUUGCCAAAUUGGUAGUCGAUUUCUAAUUAACUUCAAAAUAUAAAAAUGGAAAAAAAAAAAUUAAAACCUUCAAACCUUUGCUUCCAUUAUAAACAUGAUAUAUGCGUACUAGAUAUCAAAAACAGUAUUUUAUUUCUGGUAUUUUGCUCUUUUCAGCUUGUAUUUUGUUCACCUACAUACAUGGGCUAUGUAUGAAUGAAAAUGGAUACAAAUUAGCCGCUAGGUGGCGUAUAUGUAUCGGCGUGUGUGUGUGUGUGAGUCGGCGAGGCCUCGCAGCCAAUUUUUGUUUGUGCACGUGUGUUUUGAUCUACAGUGCCUGCAAGCUAAUUGUGGAGCACAUCUCAAGUCACAUCCUGACCUCCUAUGGAGCACAACCAUUUAGCUUAAUUUGCACAAUUUUUGAUGUCAUAAACGAAAAGCAAAGUCACAUACCAACAGCAUAAACAGCUCCAACGGAAGAGGCCACGCAUAACAUGAGAAACCUUUUAGUUAUCAUACUCAUAUACAUAUCUAGUAGUUCGAACAACAACAAAUUUUUAUAGUCUAAAGGAAAUGAAAUGUUCUAUUCUAUUAACAAAUUUGAAAUUCAUAAUUAUUCCUCAUACAAAUUUAUAUAUUACUUUA